rnacentral:rRNA from 1 species
UAGCCUUGACAUACUACAGAAUUUGACAGAGAUGUUGAAGUGCCUUCGGGAGCUGUAAUACAGGUGCUGCACGGCUGUCGUCAGCUCGUGUCGUGAGAUGUUGGGUUAAGUCCCGCAACGAGCGCAACCCUCGUCCUUAGUUACUAACGGUUCGGCCGAGGACUCUAAGGAGACUGCCUUCGUAAGGAGGAGGAAGGUGAGGACGACGUCAAGUCAUCAUGGCCCUUACGGCUAGGGCAACACACGUGCUACAAUGGUUAGGACAAUGAGAAGCGAUACCGCGAGGUGGAGCAAAUCUAUAAACCUAAUCUCAGUUCGGAUAGCAGUCUGCAACUCGACUGCUUGAAGCUGGAAUCACUAGUAAUCGUAAAUCAGCUAUGUUACGGUGAAUACGUUCCCGGGUCU